CAUCGUGAAGACACACAAACGUCCAUUACGUUUUUUGAGACACGCAGGUUCCAGGCCUGGAGCACCGCGGCCUACCUUAGCCGGGUCCCCGAGUGGCUUCUCCGGCUGCCGGGGCACGAGCGGCCCCGCGGCCUUCGAGGGCCGGUGACACGGCGCACAUGGCCGCGCUCGCCUCCCGCCUUGGCGGGAAGACUUGCAGUGCGGACGCGUGAGGCCGACUCAGAGCCUACCCAUGAGGCAGCGCGCCGCGGCUCGCGACGCCCCCUCCCCCAUCGCGGCGCUCGGCAGCCCGCUCCGCGAUGGGAGCCGCCGCGGUUGCGGCGCACAGCCCGCGCUCCUCCCUCGCCUCCUCCUCUUUCUCCUCCUCCUCAGGGCUCCAGUCAGGCCGAGCCGCUCCGCUCACGUUAUCUUUAUUUUCUAGAAAGGCAAACUGAAAUAUAACUUCCUGCUUUUUUUGGUCACAUGGUAAGUUUAAAUAUUUAAAUUUGAUCCAAGAAUUCUUUUCUUUUUUAAAAACAUUUUUUAAUGAUUUACUUAUUCUUAUAUUUAUGUGCAUUGGUGUUUUGCCUGUAUGUCUGUAUUAGGGUAUCAGAUCCCUGGAACUGGAGUCAUAGACCUUUGUGAGUUGCCAUGUGAGUGCUGGGAAUUGAACCCAGUUCCUCUGUAAGAGUAGCCAGUGUUCUUAACCACUGAGCCAUUAUCUUUCCAGCCCAGAUGGAAUUUCCUGUUUCUUAUGUUUUUGUUUGUGGUGUAUGAGUGCAGGUAUAUGCUCUGUGUUGGGACAGAGGUCAGAGAAUGACAUGGGGCUUCCUCUUCUAUCACUCUGCCUUAUUCCCUUUGUACUGUGCCUCAGGACCCUGAAGCCCAUUGUUUUGGCUAGAUUGCCUGGCUAACAAGCUAGUGGGAUAUAUCUCUUUGUCCCCCAACACUGAGGGUAAGGGUACAUAUUUCCAUGCCUGGGUUUUUAUAUAAGUGCUGGGGAUUCGAACUGAGGUCUUCCUGUUUGGGAAACAAAUAUUCUUAGCCAUUGUUCCAUUUCCCAAACUCCUUCAUCAAGAAUUCCUUUCUUCUUUUCCUGCCCUGAGGCAGGGAUGUUGUGUGGUUUUUUUGAGACAGGGUUUCUCUGUGUAGCCCUGGUUGUCCUGGAAUUCACCAGGCAGGCCUCAAACUCAGAGAUC
rnacentral:lncRNA from 1 species